GGCGGCGGCGGCGGCGGCAGAGCAGGGAACGGAGCCGGGAGCAGAGCGGAGUGCGGUGAGCCUGGCUGGGAAGCUGCGACUGGGGGUCGGUGAACUGAUGAAAGGAUUGGCUGUUGGCCAUCGCGGCGAUUUAGGUGGGGGCCGCGUGCGGUGUGCAAUGCCUGUGGGCACUGUGUGGAGAUGGAGUCACGGCGGGAAAGGACUGCUGGUGGGCUGCUGCGGGAAGACAGGGCAGCUGUGCAGAAGUGCUGGAGCUGAAACACAGAAGGAGCGGAGAAUAAAGAUGUUGUGAGAAAACAGCAAGAGCUGAAAUCACUGGUGUGAGCUUCCUAUAAAGUUUUGUGGGCAAAUAUUGCUAGAGCUGAAAUUGUGGGGCAUGAGUUGGAAAUAAAGCCUCAUGGGGACAAAAAGGGGAGGCAGUGAAAGAACAGAACAUGUGUUCAAAAUAAAAAUUGAGGCGGGAAACAGAGCAUGUGGUAACAGUGCAGAGCUGCUGCUGGAACCCACAGCACGGUGUGAAGGUGUGUUGGAGAGGCUGAGCUGCACAAAGCCAGGGCAUCUCACUGGAGUGCAGUGCUGAGCUGAAGCUGACAAGGAGCUGAGAAUAAAGAUGUUGUGGGAAACAGAGCAAGAGCUGAAAUCACUGGUGUGAGAUUGUGAUUAAGGUUUGGGGGGAAAUGGGGCAAGACGUGAGUCGGGCUAUGGGAUCCUUGGGGGCCACAGGGCAAAGUGGAAAUCACUGCGUAUGAGCUGGUAAUGCAGAGCUGCUGCUGGAACCCACGGCACGGGACAGAGAUACGUCCAGCAGGCAGAGCUGCGUGCAGCCACAACACCUUGUGUACAGUGUGCAGUGCUGGAGCUGAAACAAGGAGCUGAGAAUAAAGAUGUUGUGGGAAACAGGGCAAGAGCUGAAAUCACUGGUGUCAGUUUGUUACAACACUUCACUGGGGAAAAGGAUCUGUGAGGGGACACAGGGCAAGGGUGGAAAUCACUGUGUAUGAGCUGACAAUGCAGAGCUGCUGCUGGAACCCACAGCACGGGCACAAUGCUGUGUGAAUAUGAGGCAGAGCUGUGCAGUGCUGGGGCAGCUCACUGGAGUGCAGCGCUGGAGCUGAAGCUGACAAGGAGCUGAGAAUAAAGAUGUUGUGGGAAACAGGGCAAGAGCUGAAAUCACUGGUGUGAGCUUCCUGUAAGGUUUCUGGGGAAGUCAUGUGUGAGGUGAAAUCAUGGGGCAGGAGCUGGAAAUCAAGGUGCAUGGGAGGAACAGAGGGGAAGCCCUGAAAUGAUGGCACACAUUGAGAAUAAAGAUUGGGAAGGGAAACAGCAGCACUGACUGUGCAGAGCUGCUGCUGGAACCCACAGCACGGGGUGAAGGUGUGUGUGAGACAGAGCUGUGCAGUGCUGGAGCUGAAGCUGACAAGGAGCCGAGAAUAAAGAUGUUGUGGGAAACAGCAAGAGCUGAAAUCACUGGUGUGAGCUUCCUAUAAGGU